UACGGAGGAUGCGAACGUUAUCCGGAUUUAUUGGGUUUAAAGGGUGCGUAGGCGGCCUUGUAAGUCAGCGGUGAAAUUUUGCAGCUUAACUGUAAAAGUGCCGUUGAUACUGUGAGGCUAGGAUUUGGUUGCUGUGGGUGGAAUGUGUGGUGUAGCGGUGAAAUGCUUAGAGAUCACACAGAAUAUCAAUUGCGAAGGCAGCUCACAAAGCCAAGAUUGACGCUGAGGCACGAAAGUGUGGGGAUCAAACAGGAUUA
rnacentral:rRNA from 1 species